rnacentral:rRNA from 1 species
AAACUAACAAGGAUUCCCUUAGUAACGGCGAGUGAACCGGGAAGAGCUCAAAUUUGAAAUCUGGCUGUCUUCGAUAGUCCGAGUUGUAAUCUAUAGAAGCGUUUUCCGUGCUGAACUGUGUCUAAGUCCCUUGGAACAGGGUAUCAAAGAGGGUGACAAUCCCGUACUUGACACAAUCAUCAGUGCUCUGUGAUACGCUCUCUACGAGUCGAGUUGUUUGGGAAUGCAGCUCAAAAUGGGUGGUAAAUUCCAUCUAAAGCUAAAUAUUGGCGAGAGACCGAUAGCGAACAAGUACCGUGAGGGAAAGAUGAAAAGCACUUUGGAAAGAGAGUUAAACAGUACGUGAAAUUGUUGAAAGGGAAACGAUUGAAGUCAGUCGUGUUCAUUGGAUUCAGCCGGUCUUCGGUGUACUUCCUUUGAACGGGUCAACAUCAGUUUUGCCCGGUGGAUAAAGGCAGUAGGAAUGUGGCCUCUUCGGAGGUGUUAUAGCCUAUUGUCACAUACACUGGGGGAGACUGAGGACUGCAGCUCGCCUUUUGGCCGGGGUUCGCCCACGUUCGAGCUUAGGAUGUUGACAUAAUGGCUUUAAACGAC